rnacentral:rRNA from 1 species
AGUGAACGCUGGCGGUAGGCCUAACACAUGCAAGUCGAACGGCAGCACAGUAAGAGCUUGCUCUUACGGGUGGCGAGUGGCGGACGGGUGAGGAAUACAUCGGAAUCUACUUUUUCGUGGGGGAUAACGUAGGGAAACUUACGCUAAUACCGCAUACGACCUACGGGUGAAAGCAGGGGAUCUUCGGACCUUGCGCGAUUGAAUGAGCCGAUGUCGGAUUAGCUAGUUGGCGGGGUAAAGGCCCACCAAGGCGACGAUCCGUAGCUGGUCUGAGAGGAUGAUCAGCCACACUGGAACUGAGACACGGUCCAGACUCCUACGGGAGGCAGCAGUGGGGAAUAUUGGACAAUGGGCGCAAGCCUGAUCCAGCCAUACCGCGGGGGUGAAGAAGGCCUUCGGGUUGUAAAGCCCUUUUGUUGGGAAAGAAAAGCAGCAGGUUAAGACCCCGCUGUUCUGACGGUACCCAAAGAAUAAGCACAGGCGAACUUCGU